CCAAUCCCCAGCUCUGGGCUUCGUAUCAGGGCACAGCCCCGAGUCAGAGAAAACUUAGCCAUGAUGUGUACAUCCCUCGUGAGGACAACUGUGAAGCAAGAUCUAUACAGCUCUUGAGGUCUCCCUCUAAACCCCUGCAGUAUCCAGCACACUCUGAACUACAUGAACUUCCUAGACUCCCAUGUGCUUAUUUUUAGGUUAAAUUCUUGCUAUUUUCUAAGGCUGGCUCAACAUGAAGGAUCCCAAUUUUAGAAAGGAAGAAGAUGUGAGACACACAGAAUGAGAGAGAGAGCGCGCCUCAGCCCGAAGGGGAUCCUUGCACCCUAGGCAGCCGUUGCUCUCUCACCAAACCAAUCAAAUAUAGAAACCAAUAAAAGAAACCCCUAAACGGAACUAAAAUGA
rnacentral:lncRNA from 1 species